CCCAAGCUGGGAACCUGGCCUGCAACCCAGGCAUGUGCUCUGACUGGGAAUUGAACUGGCGACCCUUUGGUUUGCAGGCCAGCACUCAGUCCACUGAGCUAUACCAGCCAGGGCCUGUUCUCACUUUUAAAUGACAGGAAACUAUUUAGCUGCUUUUCAGUGAUCAUAGAUUAAACUUAACAAGGAAGAUAAAGACUCAAUUGCCUUUAUUCCUGUUUUAAAUUGUAAAAUACCUUAAUAUUUAUUUUUUUUUAAAAUAUAAGCCAGUUUUAUGAAAGCAUCAUUUUUUAAUUAAAAUAGUUUUAUAAAUAAAAUUACACAGAAUGCAAGCUUAUUAUUUGAAGUAAAUUUACUUAUAUUUGUUCCCUUUGGUAAUAUUUUAAGCCAGACACUGAGGGAAAAAAAUUAAGAUAAUGGCCAUUUAAAGUGCUUCUUACUAAAAUGAAACUGAUUUGUGAAGAAUAUUAAUUGUCAGAUACUGAAGAGAAUAAAAUUUAUAGCUAGAAAAAUUAAUAAUUUGUGACUUCCUAAAUGUUUAUUUAAAUAAUAAAUUUAUAGUAAAUAUGUUGUAUUGAAUUGUUUUGAAAUAUUUGAAUCUUGAAAUAUAGUAUGAAAGUUGUAUCCUAAAAUUUUUAAAAGUCGAAAAAUAUUUAAUUGUUUGAAAGUCAGUAGGGAAUGUGAAGUUGUAACUGGGCAGCAUGGGGUCUGGCUGCUUGUCACUAUGUAUGAACAUAAUACAAAGAUUUGUGUGGAAGGAAUAGGUUUUUAUUAACAGGGUUUCCCAUUUUGGGGGGCUGGGGGCAUUUCUGCUCUGAACCCUUCUUCUCAGCAAGACAUAGAACCUCCCUUGCUCCCCAAAAGAUCUGAAACCAAAGCCACGCUCAGGAGUUCCCCAUUAUUGCUUAUCUGCCCUUUUGGAGCUUAAACUAGCCAUGCAAACAGGUUUUCAUCCUCUCUAAGGUAUGCACUAGUGGGUUUAAGAGUUGCCAUUGUUUUGCUGCAGUAGCUCGCUCUUGCGUGCGCGCUCGGCUCUCUCACUCUUACUCUCUCAGGGUCUGGGGUACACUGCUGUAUCACUCCAGAAGGUCAGGCGAGGAAGCUCUACCCAAGAGGAACUUCCCAGCCAGUACCUCCAUGUGCUGCUCUUAGUCUCUGUGCACUACUCUCAGGGUGAAGGAAAUGCAGCAGUCCAGGACCCAUGUGCCAUGCUAUACUGGGUUGUAGCAUCCCAAAGGCUGGAGCCCAGUGAGGCAGCAUUCCAGCGUGGGACCCUGCCUCUGGGGAGCUGGCUUCCAACCGUGUGGUGCCUAAGCCUCAGGUGGGCCCAGUAUCUGCCAGUCCCACCAACACUCCUCCCAUUCAUGUGGUCCAAAGCAAGAGCCCAAGAAGCCAAGAGCACAAAAGCCAAGAGCCAACAGAGUGAGCUUCUGCCUUCCUUCUGUUUAAAAGUCCUGUCCCAGAAUCCCAUGGGCUCUGGGAAUGUCUAGCUUUUCAACCAAUGAAGGCCAGUGUUGUUCAUAUUUGCCUUUGCUUCUCUUCGGUCUUGCUAUGUUUAGCAAGGGUGCAAAGUCUCCAGUUACAUAUCCUCUACAAGCUCCAUUCUGCUGAGUCACAGGUUGCUCAGUUGCCUCAGGCAGUGGAUGUUGGCUUGUUUACAGUUGAUAGUUGUCUUUGUUUACAGUUUGCCUCUAGUGGUCUUUCUGCUCCUGUGGCUCUACCCUUAGGAGAAGGCAAGCUGCUUCAGUCUGCAAUAUGGCCAACUCUCCUUGCCUCUGCUAUCGGUGGGAGAGGGAGCAAACUCUUAUGCCUGAAUUGGGGUCUCCCCUAUUCUCCAGCAAUUUGUGGUCCAACCUGUUCCAUUACAAAGUGACAUUUGUAAAUGGUGUGUUCAUUUUAUGUUAAACAGUGGACUAAUUAAGGUUUCCCUGAAAAUUUGGUUUAGCUCCCAACCAGGGGUAUUUCAAGCCCAUUGAUAUCAUCAUACCUGGGUUCUACCAAAAGCAGAUGGAAGUUUCCUGGGGAAACUUUAUUACUGACCGAUAAUUUGAGAUAGGAUGAUAGUUUAUGGAGCAAUGAAAAAUAAUCCUGGGGUUGCCAUUGUUUCUGUUUUACUUGCCUAACAGAUUUCUUGUUGCCUUUUCUGUCACAGAACAAUUCAGUUUAUUUCUUAGUGUCUUAUUGAUUAAAAUAAUUUUAAGAUUAUAAUUCUAAAGGCAAAGUGGGCAGUAAUUAGAACAACUUUAGGAAUGUACUGAGGUUGUCAACCAAUUUCUUUUUUUAAUAAUGCAAAAUAUGUAUUUUUUAAUUAUACAGAUCUAAAAUUUUCUGAAACAGUAGUUUUUUUUUUUAAACCGCACUAAAAUUUUUUAUUUCUCUGGUAGUAACUUGCAGGCAUGCAGUUUGCUUUUUCAUUUCAGUUUAUUGAAAUUGAGUUUUGUUGCUUUUGGUAAAGAAAUAAAAGAUUUCACUUAUAUUUGUUUUUUACCAUAGGGAAAAACGAAUGUUUUCAAGAAUUUAGAGAAUUGAAUUUAAAAUAUAUAUAUCCAGCCAUUUGUCAAUCUUGUUUAACUAUAGAAUUUUCAUAAUAUAAGAGUUACAUGUUUUAAAGCUUAGAGAAAAAUGGACACACUGUAUCCUAGCAACUGAACGCAAAUAGACAGAUACGUCAGCACCACGCUUAUGUCAGCAGUUUGUUCUGUUUGCUUGGGAACUCUUUUGUUUUAUUAGUGUGUUUACAAUGAGGUCUUUCAGUGGAGCAAGACUAUAAUGACUGAAUAUGUACUCUGUAUUGUCUGAGUACAUUCCGUAUAUAAACUUUAAGAUAUAUGUAUAUAGGCAUAUUUAUUUUUAUUUAGCUAUUGUUAAUAUUUAAUUUUAUUUAUUGUACUUAUUUUCUUCCUCAGAAGGAUUUUAUUCUUGUUUUGUAACUAGCAAUAGACUUUGCAUUUCUGAUUAUGGUGUCUUUGGAUAAGACACUGAGUAUGUUUCCAGAUAAGUUAUUAAAAUUAUGUAUGUAUGGCUAAUGAGCCAUAUGGUUUGUUUUUAAGAGAGAUGUUUAAGCUAUUAGAAGUGGAAUAAUCUGGAUUUUUCUUGGCCAAGGCCUGUAAUUUUAUUGUGCUUUAAAUUUCUUUAAGGUCACAAUUAUUUUCUAAGAGUUUAAAAUGUAUUAUUGAGUGUUAAAAUUAAGUUCAGAAUUCUCCAAAUGCUACGGGAUUUUAUGUGUGUUUUCUGGGAUGGAGGGGAGAGGCAGAAAUUAAGUGGAAAAGGUCAGUAGGCAAUUGAAGAUUGCAGGUUUGGAGCUUAGAAAGACAGAAUGAGGCCAGAUACAAACUUUACAAGUCUCUCAAUGUAUUUCAUUGAAGGCCUAUUAUAUAUACCCAGGAAUUGAGACCCUGGACUUCACACAGACUGUAAGACUGGCAACUCCCUUGCUGCAGAUUUGAUAGUGUCUAGACAGUAAAUUCUAGAAGGAGGGUCAUUUUGCUUAGAAUGUCUUAGUUGAAGGUUGGGAAUGGAUGACAUUGGAGGAAAAAGGAGUGUAGACAGAAUUAAAUUAAGGACAAAGUGACUUUGGGAAGUACCUAUAUUGUUCAGGUUUUUACAAGAACAAGUAUUAUUGGAAGUACCUAAGUUUAGUGGUUAGCAUGAUAAAGAGGAGUCAGUGAAGAAAGCGGAGUCAGAGGGGUAAGAUGUGGGGGAUUUACCAUUGAAGCUAAUUGAACUUAAGCUCUAGGGUGAAAAUUUCUUCCAAGACUUUGGAAGGAAGGUGUUUACAUGGCAUCAUGUUUCUGUGGGAUUUCCAAAAGUCAGGUAUUUUAAGUUAAGAUUGCUAUCUCUUUCCAUUCUUGACUUAACCUCAGGGCAUACAGCAUUGGAGUA